rnacentral:rRNA from 1 species
UACAUGGGGUGCAAACGUUGCUCGGAAUCAUUGGGCGUAAAGCGCGCGUAGGCGGUUAUCUAAGUCGGAUGUGAAAGCCCUCGGCUUAACUGAGGAAGUGCAUCCGAAACUGAAUAGCUAGAGUACGAAAGAGGGUCGCGGAAUUCCCGGUGUAGAGGUGAAAUUCGUAGAUAUCGGGAGGAACACCGGGUGGCGAAGGCGGCGACCUGGGUCGAGACUGACGCUGAGGCGCGAAAGCUAGGGGAGCAAACGGG